ACAUUAUUUCGUAAUAUAUGAAGUCACACAGGAAAGGAAAUGAAACACGAUUUCCCUAAUUUUGGUCUUUCGAAUCCAAAAUUGCAAAAGACACCAAAAAAAUAAACAUUAAAUGGUCGCUUCUGACCGAUUCAAGAA